AUUGAACGCUGGCGGCAUGCCUUACACAUGCAAGUCGAACGGUAACAGAUCUUCGGAUGCUGACGAGUGGCGAACGGGUGAGUAAUACAUCGGAACGUGCCCGAGAGUGGGGGAUAACGAAGCGAAAGCUUUGCUAAUACCGCAUACGAUCUCAGGAUGAAAGCAGGGGACCGCAAGGCCUUGCGCUCACGGAGCGGCCGAUGGCAGAUUAGGUAGUUGGUGGGAUAAAAGCUCACCAAGCCGACGAUCUGUAGCUGGUCUGAGAGGACGACCAGCCACACUGGGACUGAGACACGGCCCAGACUCCUACGGGAGGCAGCAGUGGGGAAUUUUGGACAAUGGGCGCAAGCCUGAUCCAGCCAUGCCGCGUGCAGGAUGAAGGCCUUCGGGUUGUAAACUGCUUUUGUACGGAACGAAAAGACUCCUUCUAAUAAAGGGGGUCCAUGACGGUACCGUAAGAAUAAGCACCGGCUAACUACGUGCCAGCCGCCGCGGUAACAC
rnacentral:rRNA from 1 species